rnacentral:rRNA from 1 species
AGACGGAAAGACCCCGUGAACCUUUACUAUAGCUUGACACUGAACAUUGAGCCUUGAUGUGUAGGAUAGGUGGGAGGCUUUGAAGUGUGGACGCCAGUCUGCAUGGAGCCGACCUUGAAAUACCACCCUUUAAUGUUUGAUGUUCUAACGUGGACCCGUUACCCGGGUUGCGGACAGUGUCUGGUGGGUAGUUUGACUGGGGCGGUCUCCUCCUAAAGAGUAACGGAGGAGCACGAAGGUUGGCUAAUCCUGGUCGGACAUCAGGAGGUUAGUGCAAUGGCAUAAGCCAGCUUGACUGCGAGCGUGACGGCGCGAGCAGGUGCGAAAGCAGGUCAUAGUGAUCCGGUGGUUCUGAAUGGAAGGGCCAUCGCUCAACGGAUAAAAGGUACUCCGGGGAUAACAGGCUGAUACCGCCCAAGAGUUCAUAUCGACGGCGGUGUUUGGCACCUCGAUGUCGGCUCAUCACAUCCUGGGGCUGAAGUAGGUCCCAAGGGUAUGGCUGUUCGCCAUUUAAAGUGGUACGCGAGCUGGGUUUAGAACGUCGUGAGACAGUUCGGUCCCUAUCUGCCGUGGGCGCUGGAGAACUGAGGGGGGCUGCUCCUAGUACGAGAGGACCGGAGUGGACGCAUCACUGGUGUUCGGGUUGUCAUGCCAAUGGCACUGCCCGGUAGCUAAAUGCGGAAGAGAUAAGUGCUGAAAGCAUCUAAGCACGAAACUUGCCCCGAGAUGAGUUCUCCCUGAGACUUAG